rnacentral:lncRNA from 1 species
GGCUUUCAUAUGUAUAUUUUGUUAUUCAUAAUUAGUUCUACAGUUUUCUUAGCAUUUUUCUUUUUCUCCCAUCCAACAGGCUGUGUGGUUCCGGGUGCUGGUGCCGUGGAAGUGGCAAUGGCAGAAGCCCUGAAUAAAUAUAAGCUCAGUAUAAAGGGCAAGGCACAGCUUGGAGUCCAAGCAUUUGCUGAUGUGUUGCUCGUUAUUCCCAAGGUGAGCCCGUGGUAGCAGCAGAAGCAGGCAUUAUGGGAUAACGAUUGUGUAAAGAAACAGCUUCUACAUUCCUGCACUGAUUGCCACCAACAUUCUCUUGGUUGAUGAGAUCAUGCGAGCUGGAAUGUCUUCUCUGAAAGGUUGAAUUGAAGCUUCCUCUGUAUCUGAGUCUUGAAGACUCUGCAAAGUGAUCCUGAAGAAUACAGCUGUGGAAUUUUUGUCCAAGCUUCAAAUGAGUUUCAAGGGAAUUUUCCCAUGUGAAAAAAGGAGAGAACACUGGCAUCUGUUGAAAUUUGGAAGUUCUGAAAUUAUAAUUACAGUGUUUUUUAAAAAUUGCACUGAAGUAUACACACAUAAAGCAGGUCUUUCACCCAGUGAACAGGAUGUUUUGCUUUAGCAGCAGUGACAUAAAAUUCCAUGUUAAAUAAGCAUAUAUUACCUACCUUAUUAAAUAUUCCUUGAAAAAGCAGAUUUUAAUGGUUUAAUUUUAUGUGGACAUAUGUUAAAUUAUUCAGCAGUACCCUAUUGUUAAGCAUCUGGUUUUAAAAUUUUUAUGCUAAUAUAAAUAACGCUUAGUAAUUUAAAAUUUUGGAAGCAUCCCGUUAGUGUAAAUUUCUGAGUAAAUUUAUUGAUCAGUUGGACUUUUCACGCUUUUGAAAUAGCUUUGCUAAAAUGCUCCCCCUACAAAGUUGUAGGAAAUGGGAAGAGGAGUAAACUAGAGGCAAGGGAGUUGAGAGAGCUGGAAGGCAUGGUGGCUAAGGGCUACGGUUAUCAGGUGAAAUUUGAGAUUUGUAGGCUGACUAUAUUUUCAAGCUUCUGAACUUUUGCUUAUGCAAAAUAUUCAUCCCAAAGCCUCUAGCGUCAUAGUUUCCUCACCCAAAUUACUAUGUUUCCACAAGAUUUAUAUAGUUGGUCUAUCUCUGCGGUCCUUGAAAGUAAAGUUGGUGUUACUAGGCUGUGGGUUUUGGGGGCUCAGCAGUGACCUGGAGUGUGCAAAUAAAUAUUAAGUUGAAACCUCCUUUGUGGUCUUGCAAUGGUUUGACGCACAGAAGCAAUCUUAAAGGGAAUGAAAGCUGUCCAAAGGUUCAAAAAGUAGUGAAGGGGCCUCUAGGGACCCUCAACCUGCUUUUCCUUACUUCCCUGGGCAGCCCUGCAGGUGGUAUGGCCAGUCCUACACCUCGCGUCC